AAUGGAUGGGAGGACUAUGCAUGGAGAAGGAUUAAUAAGGGGGUACUUCUGAACCAAUGUGAAAAUAGAACUCUUUGCAUGGAGAAGCUCUCUCUAGUACUUCCAGAAAGACCACCAUUAUUUCCAAGGCAGUAUAGUCGAUGUGCUGUUAUAGGCAACUCAGGAGAUCUUCUUAAAACAAAAUUUGGUGAUGAGAUUGAUAGCUAUGAAGCUGUUUUCAGGGAAAAUGGAGCACCGAUACAGAACUACACAGAAUUUGUGGGCACGAAAAGUACAUUUCGCCUUCUUAAUAGGGGUUCUGCUAAAGCUCUUGACAAAGUAGCAGAGUUGUAUGAAAGAGGAAAGGAGGUGUUGAUAGUCAAAACAACUAUUCAUGAUAUCAUGAACAAGAUGAUUCGGGAAGUUCCCAUUCUCAACAAAGUGUAUCUCAUGUUGGGUGCAUCCUUUGGUUCAGCAGCAAAAGGAACUGGACUGAAGGCUCUAGAAUUUGCCCUCUCCAUCUGUGACACUGUCGAUAUGUAUGGUUUUACAGUUGAUCCAGGCUAUAAAGAAUGGACCAGGUAUUUUUCAGAGUCUCGGCAAGGUCAUACACCUCUGCAAGGAAGGGCAUAUUAUCAAAUGAUGGAAUGCCUAGGGCUUAUUAA
rnacentral:misc_RNA from 1 species